rnacentral:lncRNA from 1 species
AUGGGGGGCAUGACGGGGUCUCGAGGUAAGACGGGGUACCGCACACAAACAAGAAACUACACGUUGGUGAAUAGCAUGCAGUAACUCAAUAGGAAGAGUCAUUCGAUUAACGGUCCCUGCAAGAGAAACCGUGAAUGAGAGUGCACGCGUUUUUUGUUUACAAACGGAAAACUGUUUUAGCGAUCCGUUGAUCUAAUUUUGUGCAAGGACAACCAUCGUUAUUUUAAGUUACCUUUUGAGGCAAGAUGGGGUAUUGGGUGCGGGGUAUGAUGGGACAUUGGUGAUAAUACCAUGGUACGUACUUACAAGAAAAAAACAAAAAGAGGAGAGUGGUCGAGAGAUGCUACGAAAACAGCUAUAGAUAAAGUGACAUCGUCAGAACCCUGGAUAGGCUGCCAGAUCUGUGGAUGUUGAGCUCACAAUGCUUGUGCUAGGGUGGACAAUGAAGAUCUGGAGCAAAUACACAUUUUUGUUUGUUUUGUGAGAAUUAAUUAGCAUCACCAUCAUGGCCCAAUUCCAUUACCCCAUCAUACCCCAUAGUAUGGGGCAAGAUGGUUUUUCAUAAUGUUCUUAUUAAUGGCUAAUUGUUGAAAAAUGUGAUAGGUUGAUUUUCCAAAGAUUGUACCAAAUCAUAGUUAGAUUAAUGACGUAAGGUGCCAUCAAUUAAAAAUAGUAAUAAACGUAGUAAUUAUGUUGUA